GCUCGCGCCGGGGCCGCCCCUUCCGGGGCUCGAGGGGCCGGAGGGGAGCCCAGCGCCUCUCCGGAGGGCGCCGGCAGCUCGCGGAGCGGUCCCGGCGGCGGCGAAAGGGGAAGUCAGGACUUACCUGUCAUUACUUUCUACGCCAUCUUGGAUCCACUUGUCAACGUCCCCACAAAGCAUUGUGGGUAAGAAAGAGCCUUUAAAGUGACUCCCCUCGGCCCCCGACUCCCGCCUCCGCCGGCGCCGCCCCUCCGGCCGCACCUCCGGCGCGGAAAGUUGCCCGCCGCCUGCCGCGCGGCCCCUCCCCUCCGCCGGCUGUUUGCGUUUAAAAUCCGCCCCCAUCUUUAAAACGGGGCUCCGGGUCUCUGCGGCCGCCGCCGCUCCCGGCCUCCCUUCCCCCACCCCUCGCGUCCACGCGGGCCCCGGCGCCCCCCGGGGCGGACGGACACCCCAAGUCUGCGUCUGAUCGGCCGCGGGCUUCCCGCGCCGGCGGCGAGGAGCCGCUCAGAUUCGUCUGUGCGCGCUGCUGCGUCGGUUUCGGCCCCAGACCCUCGCCGCCCGCCGGCGGGCUUCUGCUCCCCGGGCCGGGGCCCGAGCGCCGGCGCUGGGCCGCCGCGUACGCGGACGGAAGGUGUGUCCAGCCGCCCAACGGCCCGGGACCCUGCGGAGGCCGGCUUCGCGGCGGGGGCAGGGGGCACGAGGCGAAAAGCAACUUUUACCCGCUUGCGGCUCCCUUCCGCGGGCUCUUCCCGGGCCGGCACCGCGAUCCGCGACCCUCAGACGGAGACCCCUCCCCUAGGAAUGUGGCCUCUCUCGGCCGAGUCCGCCCUUCUGCAGUCCGCGCCGCGCGCGUUCUAGGACUUCCCCGGGCAGGUAACGGGGGCGCCGCCUGCGCGCUCGGGCCGGGGCGCAGGGGCGCAAAGGGCUCGGGGGAGGGUCCCGGCGCCGGGCCGGGGAGAGAGGGGGAGCGCGCCCCGCGGUCCACCUGCCGGGUCCCGGGGGUGGGGGGCGCUCUGAGUCGUCCAGGAGAGCGACCCCGCCGCCCACGCCCGCACCCCGGCUGCUGCCCGAGGGCCCCUCGCGGGGCGGCGAGACUGUCCCCCACGCCCUCCGCCCGCAUUCCUUGGCGCGGGGUGGGCCAAGCACCGGCCGGCGCCCUCGCGCCGCGGGCCCCUUGCCCCGGGGAGCGUAGGUCAGUCUGCGGAGCUCUCACUCAUUGCCUCUGGGCUGUGCUUUGCAGACUUUGGGGACUCAGAUUGCUCCUCCCCACCCCCAAGCAGAUUUUUACAAAAAGGUGUCCAAGGGAAAAUCCUCCAGGACAUCGAGACUUGCGAAAUUCACUCAGUAAGCGGAGGACAACAACUGUGGCCGGACCAGCAUCUCUUCAGUAGGUACUUUUCUUGGCCCUGUGUGGGCCUGGACCCAGAGAAGAGUGAUGUUGGCGACUUGCACCCAUUCAUCCAAUCCAAGGUGCAUCAGGCCAGUCCUCCUCCAAGACUGUGACCUGAACAGAAAACCCUACAAAGUCCUCUCCCUGCCUCUACUUUGCCCCUGACAGUCUCUUCUCUAUCUGACCAACCAACCCAGCGAGGUCUGUGCAAGGUUAAUUGUAUCACCUAACUCCUCAGCCGCAGGGAAGGUGUCUCCAACACCUUAGAAUAAAAUCAGAAUUCUAACUAGCCUAUGAGCUCCUGGGACUGCCCCCUCACCAUGACAGCACACUGUCCUUCUGUGUCCCCUGCAAGCCUCCCUCCAGCUGGAUCCUUGUCCCCCAGAUGGGACGAUCAUCAUCUGUUCAGCACUCAGGGCGCAGCUCAGAUGGCACCUCCUGGAAGAGACUUUUCAUGAUUCCCUUAACCAGAGCGGAGUUAGAAAUGUUCUUGUCUGUGUGUCAGUUGAUUGAUUGUUAGAUCUGCCCAGGGCCUUGGAGAAUGAGCUGCAUAGGGGCACAGGCUUUGUCCGGCUUGCUCACUCAGCGCCUCCACCAGGGCCUGGAACAUACAAAAACAUUUCAGCAAACAUUUGUUGAAUGAAUGACCAAACCUUAAUGAGAGUGAGGGGUGGUGGUGAGAGUGCAGAAGCAUGGAAUGAGCAGCUGAAGGUGGGGCGCACCAGAACACUCGGAUUAUACACAGCUGGAGGCAGGCAGGCAGGAUUGGAGUUAAAGAACACAGACUCCUUGACCACCAUUAAUGGGACUCCAUUCUGAUUCUAAUCUGAUGAGCGACAGCUUCAGAUAACUCCCCAGUCACCCCUCUUUGCUUCCUGCAUGUUUUCAGCCCCACAAAGGAUGUGUCUUCUUCCUUGCAG
ensembl:lncRNA